UACAGAGGUGGCAAGCGUUGUUCGGAAUUACUGGGCGUAAAGGGCGCGUAGGCGGUCUUGUAAGUCUUGUGUGAAAUCCCUCGGCUUAACUGAGGAACUGCACGGGAUACUGCAUGACUUGAGAUCGGGAGAGGGAAGCGGAAUUCCGGGUGUAGCGGUGAAAUGCGUAGAUAUCCGGAGGAACACCGGUGGCGAAGGCGGCUCCUGGACCGACACUGACGCUGAGGCGCGAAAGCUAGGGGAGCAAACGGG
rnacentral:rRNA from 1 species